UACGUAGGGCGCAAGCGUUGUCCGGAAUUAUUGGGCGUAAAGAGCUCGUAGGUGGUUUGUUACGUCUGCUGUGAAAACCUAGGGCUUAACCCUGGGCCUGCAGUGGAUACGGGCAGACUAGAGGUAGGUAGGGGAGACUGGAAUUCCUGGUGUAGCGGUGAAAUGCGCAGAUAUCAGGAGGAACACCGGUGGCGAAGGCGGGUCUCUGGGCCGUAACUGACGCUGAGGAGCGAAAGCGUGGGGAGCGAACAGG
rnacentral:rRNA from 1 species